GCAAUUAUACCGUGAAACUGCGAAUGGCUCAUUAAAUCAGUUAUCGUUUAUUUGAUAGUACCUUACUACUUGGAUACCCGUGGUAAUUCUAGAGCUAAUACAUGCAAAAAACCCCGACUUCGGGAGGGGUGUAUUUAUUAGAUAAAAAACCAAUGCCCUUCGGGGCUCCUUGGUGAUUCAUAAUAACUUAACGGAUCGCAUGGCCUUGCGCCGGCGACGGUUCAUUCAAAUUUCUGCCCUAUCAACUUUCGAUGGUAAGGUAUUGGCUUACCAUGGUUUCAACGGGUAACGGAUUUUUAGGGAAAGAUCCCGGAGAGGGAGCCUGAGAAACGGCUACCACAUCCAAGGAAGGCAGCAGGCGCGCAAAUUACCCAAUCCCGACACGGGGAGGUAGUGACAAUAAAUACUGAUACAGGGCUCUUUUGGGUCUUGUAAUCGGAAUGAGUACAAUUUAAAUACCUUAACGAGGAACAAUUGGAGGGCAAGUCUGGUGCCAGCAGCCGCGGUAAUUCCAGCUCCAAUAGCGUAUAUUAAAGUUGUUGCAGUUAAAAAGCUCGUAGUUGAACCUUGGGCCUGGCUGGCCGGUCCGCCUCACCGCGUGUACUGGUCCGGCCGGGCCUUUCCUUCUGGAGAACCGCAUGCCCUUCACUGGGUGUGUCGGGGAACCAGGACUUUUACUUUGAGA
rnacentral:rRNA from 1 species